GACGAACGCUGGCGGCGUGCCUAAUACAUGCAAGUAGAACGCUGAAGAGAGGAGCUUGCUCUUCUUGGAUGAGUUGCGAACGGGUGAGUAACGCGUAGGUAACCUGCCUUGUAGCGGGGGAUAACUAUUGGAAACGAUAGCUAAUACCGCAUAACAAUGGAUGACACAUGUCAUUUAUUUGAAAGGGGCAAUUGCUCCACUACAAGAUGGACCUGCGUUGUAUUAGCUAGUAGGUGAGGUAAUGGCUCACCUAGGCGACGAUACAUAGCCGACCUGUGAGGGUGUUCGGCCACACUGGGACUGAGACACGGCCCCGACUCCUACGGGAGGCAGCAGUAGGGAAUCUUCGGCAAUGGGGGCAACCCUGACCGAGCAACGCCGCGUGAGUGAAGAAGGGUUUCGGAUCGUAAAGCUCUGUUGUAAGUCAAGAACGGGUGUGAGAGUGGAAAGUUCACACUGUGACGGUAGCUUACCAGAAAGGGACGGCUAACUACGUG
rnacentral:rRNA from 1 species